rnacentral:rRNA from 1 species
UUAGGAAUCUUCCACAAUGGGCGAAAGCCUGAUGGAGCGACGCCGCGUGAGGGAUGAAGGCCUUAGGGUUGUAAACCUCUAAAAGAGGGACGAUAAUGACGGUACCUCUUGAAUAGCACCGGCUAACUCCGUGCCAGCAGCCGCGGUCAUACGGAGGGUGCAAGCGUUAUCCGGAAUCACUGGGCGUAAAGGGCGCGUAGGCGGUCUGUUAAGUCCGAUGUUAAAUCCCGGGGCUCAACCCCGGAUAAGCGUUGGAUACUGGCAGGCUAGACGGUUGGAGAGGCGAGUGGAAUUACCAGUGUAGCGGUGGAAUGCGUAGAUACUGGUAGGAACACCCAUUGCGAAGGCAGCUCGCUGGACAACACGUGACGCUGGGGCGCGAAAGUGUGGGG